CAGAUGCUGAACGUGAAGGAUAACGUUGCGACAGCAACGGCCCGAAGGGCGAGGCGAAGUCGAGUCAUCCUGCACGACCCACCA
rnacentral:sRNA from 1 species